CGAACUCUGGUAUUGAUUGGUGCUUGCAUCAUGAUUUACAUUUGAGUGAGUGGCGAACUGGUGAGUAACACGUGGGAAACCUGCCCAGAAGCGGGGGAUAACACCUGGAAACAGAUGCUAAUACCGCAUAACAACUUGGACCGCAUGGUCCGAGUUUGAAAGAUGGCUUCGGCUAUCACUUUUGGAUGGUCCCGCGGCGUAUUAGCUAGAUGGUGGGGUAACGGCUCACCAUGGCAAUGAUACGUAGCCGACCUGAGAGGGUAAUCGGCCACAUUGGGACUGAGACACGGCCCAAACUCCUACGGGAGGCAGCAGUAGGGAAUCUUCCACAAUGGACGAAAGUCUGAUGGAGCAACGCCGCGUGAGUGAAGAAGGGUUUCGGCUCGUAAAACUCUGUUGUUAAAGAAGAACAUAUCUGAGAGUAACUGUUCAGGUAUUGACGGUAUUUAACCAGAAAGCCACGGCUAACUACGUGCCAGCAGCCGCGGUAAUACGUAGGUGGCAAGCGUUGUCCGGAUUUAUUGGGCGUAAAGCGAGCGCAGGCGGUUUUUUAAGUCUGAUGUGAAAGCCUUCGGCUCAACCGAAGAAGUGCAUCGGAAACUGGGAGACUUGAGUGCAGAAGAGGACAGUGGAACUCCAUGUGUAGCGGUGAAAUGCGUAGAUAUAUGGAAGAACACCAGUGGCGAAAGCGGCUGUCUGGUCUGUAACUGACGCUGAGGCUCGAAAGUAUGGGUAGCAAACAG
rnacentral:rRNA from 1 species